rnacentral:rRNA from 1 species
UACGGAGGGUGCAAACGUUGCUCGGAAUCACUGGGCGUAAAGGGUGCGUAGGCGGGUCUUUAAGUCAGGGGGGAAAUCCUGGAGCUCAACUCCAGAACUGCCUUUGAUACUGAAGAUCUUGAGUUCGGGAGAGGUGAGUGGAACUGCGAGUGUAGAGGUGAAAUUCGUAGAUAUUCGCAAGAACACCAGUGGCGAAGGCGGCUCACUGGCACGAUACUGACGCUGAGGCACGAAAGCGUGGGGAGCAAACAGG